rnacentral:tRNA from 1 species
UAUGAGACAGUGUUUAGUUGCACAUAAGUUUUUGGUACUUAAAGAAAACGUAGUUUUCUCAUAA